rnacentral:rRNA from 1 species
UACGAAGGGGGCUAGCGUUGCUCGGAAUCACUGGGCGUAAAGCGCACGUAGGCGGAUCUUUAAGUCAGGGGUGAAAUCCCGAGGCUCAACCUUGGAACUGCCUUUGAUACUGGGGAUCUCGAGUCCGGAAGAGGUGAGUGGAACUGCGAGUGUAGAGGUGAAAUUCGUAGAUAUUCGCAAGAACACCAGUGGCGAAGGCGGCUCACUGGUCCGGUACUGACGCUGAGGUGCGAAAGCGUGGGGAGCGAACAGG